rnacentral:rRNA from 1 species
UACGUAGGGCGCAAGCGUUAUCCGGAAUUAUUGGGCGUAAAGAGCUCGUAGGCGGUUUGUCGCGUCUGCCGUGAAAGUCCGGGGCUCAACUCCGGAUCUGCGGUGGGUACGGGCAGACUAGAGUGAUGUAGGGGAGACUGGAAUUCCUGGUGUAGCGGUGGAAUGCGCAGAUAUCAGGAGGAACACCGAUGGCGAAGGCAGGUCACUGGGCCGCAACUGACGCUGAGGAGCGAAAGCAUGGGGAGCGAACCG